AGUGAACGCUGGCGGCGUGCCUAAUACAUGCAAGUCGAACGGAGUGGAGCACGGGUGAGUAAUAUAUAGCUAAUCUGCCCCUUGCUGGAGGACACAAGUUAGAAAUGACUGAUAAUACUCCAUAGCAAGGGAUGAGACUAUAACGUAUAAUCUAGUAGGGGGGGGAACGGCCUACCGAGGCUAUGACGCGUAACUGGUAUGAGAGGAUGAUCAGUAACAUUCGAAUUGAGACACGGUGCAAACUCCUACUGGAGGCAGCAGUAGGGAAUAUAGCGCAAUGGGGGAAACCCUGACGCAGCAACGCCGCGUGGAGGAUGACACGUUUCGGGGCGUAAACUCCUUUUGUUAGGGAAGCGGUACCUAACGAAUAAGCACCGGCUAACUCCGUGCCAGCAGCCGCGGUAAUAC
rnacentral:rRNA from 1 species